GACGAACGCUGGCGGCGUGCUUAACACAUGCAAGUCGAACGGAAAGGCCCUGCUUUUGUGGGGUGCUCGAGUGGCGAACGGGUGAGUAACACGUGAGUAACCUGCCCUUGACUUUGGGAUAACUUCAGGAAACUGGGGCUAAUACCGGAUAGGAGCUCCUGCUGCAUGGUGGGGGUUGGAAAGUUUCGGCGGUUGGGGAUGGACUGGCGGCUUAUCAGCUUGUUGGUGGGGUAGGUGCUUACCAAGGCUUUGACGGGUAGCCGGCCUGAGAGGGUGACCGGCCACAUUGGGACUGAGAUACGGCCCAGACUCCUACGGGAGGCAGCAGGGGGGAAUAUUGCACAAUGGGCGGAAGCCUGAUGCAGCAACGCCGCGUGCGGGAUGACGGCCUUCGGGUUGUAAACCGCUUUCGCCUGUGACGAAGCGUGAGUGACGGUAAUGGGUAAAGAAGCACCGGCUAACUACGUG
rnacentral:rRNA from 1 species